UAUGGCGUCGACUGUGCAUUAGCAAUAAAUCGCUUUUUUAUAACUUUUGUAUAACAGUAAGUUUAGAUCUAAACGCAAACCGUUAAACACAUGACUGAGAUGGUGCAAUAUAAUAUAGUUUUUUGUAACAAUUUCCGAACAACGGGGCUGUAAGAUAUUUAGGCAUCAAAAUAACGUACCACUCGCCGAGGUCCCGUGUCGUGUUCUGUAUCAUUUCCCAUUAUCAUUACAUUACAUACAAUACCAAGAAUUUACUGAAGUAUUAUUUUUGCAUUCAUAUACAUAUAUUACGUGGGUUUUUUGACAUACCUAUAUUACUUUAUUAUAUCGGAUAUAUUAUAUUUUCUUGUGUCCGCAAGGUAGUGUUAGGUGUAUAUUGAAUUAAAUAUAUAAGUUUAAAA